rnacentral:rRNA from 1 species
UUCUCUUAGUAACGGCGAGUGAACAGAGAAAAGCCCAGCGCUAAAUCAUUUGAUUGUUAUAAUCAUUUUGAGCUGUAGCGUAUAGAUGCAAUUAUCUUAUUAUUUUGUGCACUCAAAGUUCCCUUGAGCGGGGCUAAAGUCCAAAGAAGGUGCUAGACCUGUACGGGUGACAAAAUAUUAAGUCGAUUGCUUCUUGGAGUCGGGUUGCCUGAGAUUGCAGCCCAAAGUGGGUGGUAGACCUCAUCUAAGGCUAAAUAUGGCCACGAGACCGAUAGCAAACAAGUACCGUGAGGGAAAGUUGAAAAGAACUAUGAGAAUAGAGUUAAAGGAGGACGUGAAACCGCUGGGAUGGAAACGAAUAGAGUUGACGAAACCUAUUGUCAUUCAACCGAUUAACUUUGCGGCUUUUUGACGUUGUACCGCACAAAAUUAUUUUGCUGGACAACGACAAAAAAUGCUGUUAAGUAGCAAGUGUGGCCUGUGUAAUUGGUGCAUUUGAUGGUAGUACGCGCCGAGUGCUGCGUUGUUGUGCGACAAAACGUAUGUAGUAGCCCGUACAAUUUUUGUGCGCAAGCUUGCAUGCGUAAAAGCGUAUUGGCAAUGCGGUAGUUUUGUAAACUUUCGCCGUAUGGUGCGUUACUGUUCGCCUACGAUUGGUAUAUCUAUGGUGCAAUCGCUUGCGUAUUGUCUGUAGUUUGUGCUAUUCAAGCGGUGCAGGUAAACGCGUUAAAGUUGCGUCUCGGUGUGAGCGUCAAUCACCUAUUCGACCCGUCUUGAAACACGGACCAAGGAGUCUAGCAUAUGCGCAAGUUAUUUGGUGGUAAACCAUAAAAACGUAAUGAAAGUAAACGUCGUCUUGAUACGAUGAAAUAUGUGAGCUGUGUGUUGAUUAAUAUGCGCACAGUGCAACAUAGCCCUGUUCUCGUUGCUUGCAAUAGAACGGAGGUAGAGCGCAUACGCUGGGACCCGAAAGAUGGUGAACUAUGCCUGAGCAGGAUGAAGCCAGAGGAAACUCUGGUGGAGGUCCGAAGCGAUUCUGACGUGCAAAUCGAUCGUCUGACUUGGGUAUAGGGGCGAAAGACUAAUCGAACUAUCUAGUAGCUGGUUCCCUCUGAAGUUUCCCCCAGGAUAGCUGGAGCACAUACAAAAGCAGUUAUAUUCGGUAAAGCGAAUGAUUAGAUGAAUUGGGGACGAAACGUUCUCAACCUAUUCUCAAACUUUCAAUGGGUAUGAAGUUCCGCUUGCUUAAGCACUUUGUUGAUGAAGCGUGUACAUUGAAUGUGUGCUCCAAGUGGGCCAUUUUUGGUAAGCAGAACUGGCGCUGUGGGAUGAACCAAACGUUGAGAUAAAGUGCCAAACUUUUCGCUCAUUAGACCCCAUGAAAGGUGUUAGUUGAUAUAGACAGCAGGACGGUGGCCAUGGAAGUCGGAAGCCGCUAAGGAGUGUGUAACAACUCACCUGCCGAAUCAACUAGCCCUGAAAAUGGAUGGCGCUUGAGCGAAAGACUUAUACUCGACCGUUGCUCGGCUUGUGCACAGGUUUGUGCGUAAUUGUUGCCUGGCCGCAACGAGUAAGAGGGUCGCAGUGGUUAGCGUUGAAGACUUUGGGCGUAGGCCCAGUCGGAGCUUCCAUUGGUGCAGAUCUUGGUGGUAGUAGCAAAUAUUCAAGUGAGAUCCUUGAAGACUGAAGUGGAGAAGGGUUCCUCGUGAACAGCAGUUGGAUGCGGGUCAGUCGAUCCUAAGACACCGGCUAAUGCCGUAUGUCAUUGAGAAAUGGAGAUCAAAUCCAUCUUGGCAGUCGAAAGGGAAACGGGUUUAUAUUCCCGUACCUGGACACGGAGAUUAAACGCCCAUUGCGGGCGUUUAGCGCGGCAACGCAAAUGAGCUCGGAGACGCUGAGCAGAGCCCGAGCCAGAGUUCUCUUUUCUGGUUAAGGAACGGACUCCCUGGAAGCGGUUCAGCCGGCGAUAGGGACGUUGUUUCCGUAAAGCGCCACGGUUCCUGUGGUGUCUCGUGCACUCUGCUUGGCCCAUGAAAAUCCGAGGAAGGCUAUUUGAAUUUCGUGCCAGAUCGUACCGAUAUCCGCAGCAGGUCUCCAAGGUGAACAGCCUCUAGUCGAUAGAAUAAUGUAGGUAAGGGAAGUCGGCAAAUUAGAUCCGUAACUUCGGGAAAAGGAUUGGCUCUAAGGACUGGGUCGGUCGGGCUGCAGCGUGAAGUGAGCGCGGUUUGAUCUGUGCAGUGCCACGCGUGCAUUGCACGUGAGGCUCGGCUAGUGUUUGAACUGCCUUAUGGACCGUUGCAGCUGUGCAUUAAUUACCUUACCGGUGUUUAUGCUUCGUCCGUCGCUAAACAGUCAACUUAGAACUGGCACGGACUCGGGGAAUCCGACUGUCUAAUUAAAACAGAGGAGACAGACGGUCCUUGCGGGCGUUGACUGUCUCUGAUUUCUGCCCAGUGCUCUGAAUGUAAAAGUGAAGAAAUUCAACCAAGCGCGGGUAAACGGCGGGAGUAACUAUGACUCUCUUAAGGUAGCCAAAUGCCUCGUCGGUUAAUUUCCGACGCGCAUGAAUGGAUUAUCGAGAUUCCCACUGUCCCUAUCUACUAUCUAGCGAAACCACAGCCAAGGGAACGGGCUUGGCAAACACAGCGGGGAAAGAAGACCCUGUUGAGCUUGACUCUAGUCCGACUCUGUGAAGAGUCAUGAGAGGUGUAGCAUAAGUGGGAGGCUUUGCCACCGGUGAAAUACCACUACUUUCAUCGAUUCUUUACUUAUUCGGUAAGACGAGAAUUGAGCCAAGACGGUUCUUAAUUCUGGUAUUAAGUGCAGCUGCUUGGUGGCAGCACGACUCGCGCCGAAGACAGUGUCAGGCGGGGAGUUUGACUGGGGCGGUACAUCUGUCAAAAGGUAACGCAGGUGUCCUAAGGCUAGCUCAGAGAGGACGGAAACCUCUCGUAGAGUAAAAGGGCAAAAGCUCGCUUGAUCUUGAUUUCCAGUACGAAUACAGACCGCGAAAGCGUGGCCUAUCGAUCCUUUUGAAUUAGAAAGUCUCUAGCAAGAGGUGUCAGAAAAGUUACCACAGGGAUAACUGGCUUGUGGCAGCCAAGCGUCCAUAGCGACGUUGCUUUUUGAUCCUUCGAUGUCGGCUCUUCCUAUCAUUGCGAAGCAGAAUUCGCCAAGCGUUGGAUUGUUCACCCACCAAUAGGG